AUGAGAUAUAAUCACCAAUUCAAACAGUUGUGAGGAGAUAGACAAAAAGUUACUCAACUCUUUUCACAACAAGGAGAAUGAUGAAAGACUUAGAUGGUAUCAAAAAUCUCUGGACACGUAGGAACUACAAGCAGAGACAGAGACAGAGCAAGAGAGCACAAGGAGG